rnacentral:rRNA from 1 species
UACGUAGGGUCCGAGCGUUGUCCGGAAUUAUUGGGCGUAAAGGGCUCGUAGGCGGUUUGUCGCGUCGGGAGUGAAAACUCAGGGCUCAACCCUGAGCGUGCUUCCGAUACGGGCAGACUAGAGGUAUGCAGGGGAGAACGGAAUUCCUGGUGUAGCGGUGGAAGUGCGCAGAUAUCAGGAGGAACACCGGUGGCGAAGGCGGUUCUCUGGGCAUUACCUGACGCUGAGGAGCGAAAGCAUGGGGAGCGAACAGG